GUAUGCCUUCUUGGCCUCCUUGGCCUCUCCUUUGCAGCUCCUCAUGGCGAUGAGCUUGCCCGAGAGAAACGCUCGUCCAGUGGAGAGAACAACGGGGGCUUUGGCUUUAAUCCAUAUCCGUAC